AGCAUGUUUGAUGUCUGUGUCAGUUCCCCACCUCCCUAAAGACAGUAACAUGUAACCCCACCCGUACCUUGUUUCAUUGUGAAGUGAUGUCUUCUGGGACUUAAAGUCCCCCUGCUUUCCAGAGAAUCUGUGUACCAUGCAUUAAGGUAAGCAGAGAGACUUCUAGUCCCAGAAUGCAUCACUGUGGAACAAAGUGAGGGAGGGGGUUGCAUUACACUCUCAGCAAAAGGAAUCUUGGGAAACAGCUUGUUUGAGUUAUCAUGGUGUCAUUUUAUCUGUGGAAUCAGGUAUCUGUUUAAUUUCUGAAUCGUACCGUUAUUUUUUAUGGUGGUGUGCACUGGAUGUUCUCUUUAGUGAAGUAGAUUGAAAAGCGGACCUUAGAUGCAAAAAGCUGCCUGGGCCCGAAGAAAAGAAGAAAGAAACUAAAGAAGACUGUGGCAUAUGAGCUCCUACAGAAAUACCCCAUGCUGGUGCAGUUUUAAGUGAACAGGAGCUCAGGCCCAGAUUAUCAGGCUUAUUAAGAAGCAUGAAAGGAAGUAAAACAAAAGUAUGGAAUGAAUGCACAACUGGCUUAUAUUUCUCAAGUCAUGAGAUGAAAAGAAAAAUUACAAUCCUUAUAUCAGAAGGCAACUGUCCUUACAAAAAUGCAUCAAACACAUUGAAAUAUAAUGCAGAGAUAGCAGAGCUGAAAUGAAUCACUGUAUAAUUGAGAAAAAUAUAAGGGGCCAGAUGUCUCUGAAUAAGAAAUAUAUAAUUGGCCAGAUGUCUUUGUCAAGAAGAAGUAAAGUACUACAAUUAUGCAUUGAGGAAUCAUCCUCAUCCAGCUCAAAAAGGGCCACAGUCACCCCAAAGCCUCAGGACUGAGACCUCGAAAGAACACUUUCCAUAUGAAGACUGCUGCAAUUGUGAAUUCAAUAUUAAGCACCCUGGGCUGCGUGAAACCUCCUUUACUGACAAUUAGUUGUCACAAAAUAGGAUUGUGUGGUGAUAGUUGUUUCCACCACUACUAGAGAAAAAGAAAAAUAUAAAAAGCACUAAAACAUAAAGAAUAUAACAUUUGUACAAAUUAAAAUUAUGCUAUGAAAAAAAAAUGAAACUACACAAUGCGCUGAAGUUAAUUUCUCAUUUUAUAAUUAUGCUCCAGGGUUAAUAGAUGUAAACGAUAGGUGAAAAUACAAUCUCUUUUGUGUAGAAGCACACUAUCAGAUUGUGGCAAAAUAAAAAUAAUGUUUCCUUU